AGAGUUUGAUCCUGGCUCAGGACGAACGCUGGCGGCGUGCUUAACACAUGCAAGUCGAGCGGAAAGGCCACUUCGGUGGUACUCGAGCGGCGAACGGGUGAGUAACACGUGAGUAAUCUGCCCUUGGCUUCGGGAUAGCCACCGGAAACGGUGAUUAAUACCGGAUAUGACCACUUCACGCAUGUGAUGGUGGUGGAAAGUUUUUCGGCCAGGGAUGUGCUCGCGGCCUAUCAGCUUGAUGGUGAGGUAAUGGCUCACCAAGGCUUCGACGGGUAGCCGGCCUGAGAGGGUGACCGGCCACACUGGGACUGAGACACGGCCCAGACUCCUACGGGAGGCAGCAGUGGGGAAUAUUGGACAAUGGGCGGAAGCCUGAUCCAGCAACGCCGCGUGAGGGAUGACGGCCUUCGGGUUGUAAACCUCUUUCAGCACAGACGAAGCGCAAGUGACGGUAUGUGCAGAAGAAGGACCGGCCAACUACGUGCCAGCAGCCGCGGUAAUACGUAGGGUCCGAGCGUUGUCCGGAAUUAUUGGGCGUAAAGGGCUCGUAGGCGGUUUGUCGCGUCGGGAGUGAAAACACCGGGCUUAACUCGGUGCUUGCUUUCGAUACGGGCAGACUAGAGGCAUUCAGGGGAGAACGGAAUUCCUGGUGUAGCGGUGAAAUGCGCAGAUAUCAGGAGGAACACCGGUGGCGAAGGCGGUUCUCUGGGAAUGUCCUGACGCUGAGGAGCGAAAGUGUGGGGAGCGAACAGGAUUAGAUACCCCGGUAGUCC
rnacentral:rRNA from 1 species